GACAGAGUGAUACAUUUUUCAAGAUAAAUUAUUUUGGAAUCUUUAUUCAUGUCCAAGGAAUUUCGAUAUUUCGAUUAAAUUUCGACUGUAUGGUUUUCGCUUGCAAAAUGAUGUCUUACUUCAGGGUAUUUUAAAUAUGGAAAUAAACUCCACGAAAUCCAACCCAAAGUAGACAGCCUCCCCAAAAUUAGUUUCCUUAGAAGACAGGACAAGAUAAAUAUUCGAAGACUCAGAAUAGGACACACGAAAUUAACCCACGGCCAUCUGAUGUCAAAUGAUGAUACUCCCAGUUGCGAAUACUGCGGUACUCGCCAAACAAUACAGCACAUUAUAAUACACUGCCCCCAACACGAGGAUACUCGUCGUAGAUGUGGACUAAAGUAUAACCUGAAGGACAAUCUUAGCUCACACGAUGCAGUCGAAAAUACAUUAAAUUUUCUGAAUGUUAUCCAAAUAGGUAGAUUAUAAGAAUGUUGUGGAAUUGAUAUUGAAUAAAAUAUGAUAAAGAGA